rnacentral:lncRNA from 1 species
CCCGUACUGUACUUUGGAAGAAAGUCACUACAUAUAGCCAGCACUUUAAAAGAAUGGAGAAUUAUGGUCCCUAUCCUUAAGGCAAAUACAUUGGAGACUUCUCAACUUUCUGCUUCUGAUGAUCUCAACUUGUGGUAUGGCAAAAGGAGAGCAAAAUGUUCACCCAGGGGUCUGAGUUUGGUUCAAGAGAGGAACUACAGCUGUUGGUGACUACAACCAUCUGCCCAGAUGACAUCGUGAUCAACUCCUCUGAAUCACUCUAAAGGAACGAGAAGUCCUGGCAGCUGAGUCAUGAUCCCCCAGGAGCCAUUAAGAAGUUAAUCUUCAGUCACUUCCAUCCAAACAGAAGAAAACCCAUGAAGGAUGAGAACUAUGGGUCCUGAGAAUGACAGGUAAUUGGUGCCACUUUAUUCACAGAAUCCAAUAAAUAGUACUCUUUGAUUCACAUAUUUAAUGCUCAUUAUUGUACAUUUUUAUAAAGACAAGUUAGUCUAAAUUGCCAUUCAUCUCUUUCUUAUCAAAGUCCUACCCAACACAUGAUCAUAUCAUCAGAAAUCAGAUAUUUUCUUGUUGAAUGCCCUACCUAACUCAUUCAAUUGUAAUUUUCUGGGAAUGGUGACCAGAGAUUUGAUAUUUUUGGAAGUUACAUCAAAUCCUCAUUACUUUAUAAGUGAUUUAAAAUUUAUCACAUGGUACACUUUUCAUAUCUUUCAAAGGAUUAAUAUAUAAAAAAUAUAUAGUUAAUGCUCAGCUUUAAAGACAUUAAAGGACAGAGUUAUACAGAAAGAAAGAUCCAGAGAUCUUUCUUUAAUAAAGAUAUUAAAAUUGAAUCUGCUUAUUCAAGUAUAAUGAUAGAACAGAAAGAGAUCUUAAAAUUGUUUAAUCUCUUCCUUGGCUUUCAAAAAUAUAAAGUCUUCUUUAUUGGAGAUUUCUUUAUCCAUAGAAUAUCUUAAUUCCCCACUCCCCAACUUCCUCCCCAUGUGAAGUUUUAUCUGUCUUUAAAAUAUUUGUGUUGUCUUCUUCAGGAUAUAUCAUUGAUUGGCACUUUUUGAUUCUAGUUUUAUAUACUGUUAUCCUUGUAUAUUAAAGUAGGUCUCAAAUAUAUCUUUCAUGGUGGUGUGUAAGGUUCUGAGAGAGCUGGAAAAAAGGUAUAAGCUCCCUUCUAAAGUGCAAGUAUAUACUUGCAGAGAUAUUUUUUCACUUACAUUCUUGGAGAUCAUCCAUGGUCUCCCCAUGUCUUUUACAAAAGAGGUUUCCAGCACCUAUUAGGGAAGCUAGAUGGUCACUUGUAUCUUCCUUAUCUCUGUAUUAGAUGAUAAUAUCGAAUGCAGGUAAGUGGUGGUGGGGAGAGUAAUAUUGACAGAAUAGUUAUAUGGCAAACAUUGGCACCUCAGAAAUUUUUUGCUUUUUUGAGGGCUCUUAUUAAUAUUUGCAAACUUUAAAAAGCCUUGAAAAGAGUUUUAUCCAGAGCUCACCACAUAUAGAAAAACAGAUCUCUCUUGUUAUGGGAAUUGAGGCUAGUCCAAAUUCCCCCAGAUUAAACAUCUUUCCUCAUUUGGCACAUUCUUCAGCUGUUCCUUAAGAAAAAAUCAUACUAAGGAAAGUUAAUUCUGGGAAGUCUAGAAUUAGAAUAAAAUUAUUACACUAAAAGGAAAGCCCAGAUAUCUCUUUAAAAAUGCUUAAUUUUUUUGAAAACUCACAUCAGCACCAGAUCAUUUCUUUAAUGUGUACAGAUUUCCUUUCUUCAUUGACUAAAUAGCUUUGCUAAACGAGAUUAAAACCACAUAACUCAAAUGAGACAUAUAAGAUCUUGAAUAAUGUUCACAUAGCUACAACAUCAAAUUCCAGUGCUAAUAUAAAUUAUGUCUACUACGUUUUCAUUUAUUUGGGAUUAUCUGUUUGCCUCAAGUGGUGUAAAAAAAUUGAGCAGGAACCACCUGAAACUUCCUUUCACAACAAGAGAAAGUUGUAAUUUGUAUUUACUUUACCUAGCUUUCUUUAUAUGAAUGUAGCCAAGAAGCAGGGGAGGAAGGACAAUUACAGGAAAUUGUGAUAGGAAACUAUUAGGAAAAGCAAUUUGUAAUUUCUGCUAAAACUCUAGGUAAAUAACCCUGAGCAUUCAUAGUCUGGCAAGU